CCAUUUAUCUUUUGUUUUUUUCUCCGUUGAGUGUGGACUGUUGGUGCAUUUCUUCUUAACUGUGUAUUUACAUUACAGCAAUGGAAACUUCAGAGUUUUGACCAAAUGAAUAGAUUUUUUGGGCUUGUUUCAUCCAUGAUGGGGGCCAUCAGUUCAAUGGAUUGGAUAGAUCAACCAUGGGCCCCAAUGUACAUAUUAGUUACCAAACCAGAAAGUUCUCUUUUGAACUUGGCCUCUCGACAGUAUGGUCCUAUGUUUUUAAGUACUGAUUAAUGAGAAGGGUGUAUAUAUUCCAACUGGUUAGACCAAAGGUUACAGUCCACCCAGUAGAUAACUUCAAAUCUAUUAAGUGAAUGUGACAUCCAACCCUAAGUAGGUUGGCCUUCCAUGAGGAUUAACCAUUACAAUAAUCGGCCCCAUCAACUCAUCAGGUGGGCCAUACCAUAGAAAACAAUACUUUUCCAUUGAUAAAUGGAAAAACAUGAGGGUUGUCUACUCAAUGAGUGAACAUGGUUGAUUUCUGCACAAGGUGAUCCUCAUCAUGGGGCCAACCUAUUGGGAUGUCACAUGCACAUGAAAGAUUGAAAGUUAUAAGUUGGGUGGACCAUAACUUGUGUCCAACUGGUUGUUCUUGAGACCUGAUUAAUUCAUAAUGUAAAUUUAUAUUAUAUUAUAUAUAUAUUUAUUAUUUAUUUAUUUAUUUUGCAAUAGCAUGCAUAUUGAACUUCAAUACCAAUUCAUAGAACUUAAAUUACAAUAAUAACAUCAAUAAUUUCUUAUGACAUCAAUCAUCUUUGUUAUCUCUCAAUAAUAACAUCAAACAUCAAUAAUUACAAUUUAUUAUUGUUAUUAAAUUACAAUAAUAACAUCAAUUGUCUUUUUUCUCUGAAAAAAAUAAAAUAAAAAUAAAAAUAAAUAAUAACAUCAAUCAUUUCCUAUAUAAAUUACAUUACCAAUUCACAUAUAAGACUGCAUUGCAUAUUCUUAGUGUAUAAUUGGAGGGCCCCACAUGAUCCACCCUAGUGUACCACACGUAUUGGAGGAAGUUGCAUACUGCCUACAUUUUCCCAUAUAACAAACUGGAUCCGCCAUCCAGGUAACAUUAUUCUGGACAUUUGCAUAGCUGAAUUUGAGAAGAUACCUAUUGUUGACUACAAAUAGUUCGAGAAAUCUGAAAAACCUUUUGGUUUGGAAUCUACUAUCAUUGCGAACUCAAAACUGCUCAGGGUUUUCCCUUUUAUUUUGUGACAAAGAAACUUGUUGUAAAAUUUGUGUGAGUCAAAGUUUUAUUUUCAAGAUUUUGGUUGGAACUUCAAAAUACUGGUUAUUUAAAUAUUCAAUAUUCUUUAUCCAGAGUGUUCUUAAAAAGUGAACCUUUCACGAAAAUGGUUUUAUAAAUUGUACUUUCUUGAGUUGCCACUGGUUGAAAUUCUACCUUCCGAUUUGGAUAUUUGAAAUCAUAUGCGAAAGACGAUUGUGCUGAAGUGGGGAAUAUGGGAUUUCUGGGCGUCUGAAGCUUUUCAAUUUUGAAACCUGUUUUGGGAUACACCAUAUAUCUACGGAUUUUUUAUUUUUUAUUUUUAAAGAAAUUUGAGAAAGAGCAAUGCAGUUGGGUUGUGUAGAGAAAUCUCUUACAUUUACUCAUAUUCUUACAUGAUUUGGUUGGCACUGCCUAGUAUUGAUGUGCUGGGUAGAGGAGCCAUGAUGAUUUUAGGGGUUUGUCGAACUAUGGGAAAGCAAUCAUGGGAGGCAACCCCAAGAAAGCUGGGACAAGGCUCGAUGGUGAUGGUGGUGGUUCUAGUUUUGAGGUUUUUUUUUUCCCCCACCCAUUUCAUUGACAGUGUUAGGUGUCACACUUUAAAGAGCAGCAUAUCUUUCAAGCUGUUUACAUUACUUCCAUGGAUUUAAAUGCUGGUCUCCAUGAGGAGUUUAUGUUUUUUGGUUUUGUAAUGUUUUUUGUGGUGGGGGGAGUUGGAAGAAGGGUUUUAUUGAUUUCUACUAUUUGGUCUUGGGGGUGGUAGUACUUGGAAAUUUGUCAAUCUUUUUGGAGGCAAAUGGCUGCAGCAAUAGGCCAUACAGAGCGUACAGGAAGACCGAGUGGGGGGAAACAAAAGGAGAUGGGGAAAGAUGCAGAUGGUUGUUAGACGAAGCAGAUUUUCAGGUCAAGUGGGCCACACUGCAGUUGGACUGAAAAUGCAGAUGGGGAAAGAUGCUGAUGAUUGUUAGAUGAUGCAGAUUUUCAAGUGGCCCUCACUGCAGUUGGACCGAAGUGUCUGCAUAAAUCCUGACCGUCAUUUUAAAAGCAUUCUCUAUUGACUGAGGAAAGAAGAUGGGCUAUGGUGAUUUCUAAAUUUUCUCUGAUGCACCAUUUAUCUCAAUUGCUCCUUGUUUGAAAUUGCCAUGUCUGAUCUUAAUGUGUUCAAAGCAGAUCUUCGGUGGGUCCAUAAUGAAACAGCCUUGGUUCAAAAAAGGGUAGGGAAAAUGUUUAAAUCAGUCUAUUUUGUUAGAAAUACAGUAAAAAAGAAACAAAAACUGCUGAACAAAUGAAAAAAAUAAUAUUAAGUUUGGGUUUUAAGGCGAAGAAAUGGAGUGAAAAAAUGACUACAUUUAUAUAAGAAUAGAAUCAAAAACUUUGAUCUUCGAAUGGAAUUGGUGGACGUUUCCUUUCAAAUGCUUUUCAAGUAAUCAGCAUAUAAAACAGUCUUAAGUCCCUACUAUAUAACAUUUCAUUUUAGUCGUCCUCUGUAUCAAUGCAUGGCAACAGGCCACCAAUCCCUAUUUCUCUCAGUGAGCUUUCGUUACUUGAGAAUAGUGUUUCAUUGAAAAAACCGUGUCUAGAUUGGAUUGCCAUGUUUUUUUUUUUUUUUUUUUUUU